AUGGCGUCCGUGCGUUUGGGCCAGCCCAUAAAUCAGGUUGUUGCUCCGGUCACUGUUUUGCCUCAAGAAAAAAACACGAGUCUCUGCUCAGGUGGGAGGCUCCUCAGGAAGACAGGAACAAUAUUUGCUUGGGACCUACGCUCGGCACAGGAGCCAAUACCACUCUCUCAUGUAGGCCUUGACGAAACAGCACAACCCGUGUGUGAGAGUGAGGUCUGGGAGAUGAGAGGCCUGUUGAAUUUCUUGUCGAGCCCUGUGCUAUCAACUCCUUUGAUAUUGAUCCUUAGAACCCUUUGGAAUCAGGAUAUUAAACUGAUAAGAACAGAUACUACACUUGAUCUUAGCCAAGAGGCCGAGAAAGGGGAAUGCUACGGCUGUUUGUCUAGCACGAGAAGCGAAAUCAAAUCCGUUGGCCCGAAUUCUCCGGUCCGCCCGAAGGAAACGCAACGACGCGUUCCAUUUUUCCAGAAAGAAACGCGCCGCAGUCCCUCCCCCUCGAAGACUCCGCGGCCGGGUCCCCCACGUCAGCCGCCGCCGGCCGCCAUUGACUGCCCCCCCGCCCGCCGAAUCCCAGCCGUCCGCGCACCCCCACCGCCCCUCCUAAAACCGCGUCCUCGUCUUGCUCCGUCCCUGACUCCGCCCCCCUCAAGAACCCCCGCCGAUCGACCGUCUUCUUGA
rnacentral:rRNA from 1 species